rnacentral:ncRNA from 1 species
CCUUAUUAAGAGCGAGGGAGGGAAUGGGCCCUGUGAACUCGCGGCAACCCGGUCAGAAGAUGCGGGUGCCAAAUCCCACGGAGAACGCUCCGGCAGAUGAGG